GCGCUUCAAAUGCACGGAAAAUCAAGGACUUACAAGGACUGGACACUAUGUGAUCUGACUACGAACCAGAAGGUCGGCAGUUCGAAUCUGUCUGGGCGCACCA
rnacentral:tRNA from 1 species